rnacentral:rRNA from 1 species
GGCGGUCAUAGCGGCGGGGAUACACCUCUUCCCAUUCCGAACAGAGAAGUUAAGCCCGCCAGCGCCGAUGGUACUCGGGGCGCGAGCCCCCGGGAGAGUAGGACGCCGC